AAUGUUUCGCCCAUAGUGGCGCUCGGGUGCGUAACGCGUGGGAAUCUGCCCUUGGGUUCGGGAUAACCGUUGGAAACGACGGCUAAUACCGGAUGAUGUCGAUAAGACCAAAGAUUUAUCGCCCAGGGAUGAGCCCGCGUAGGAUUAGCUAGUUGGUGGGGUAAAGGCCUACCAAGGCGACGAUCCUUAGCUGGUCUGAGAGGAUGAUCAGCCACACUGGGACUGAGACACGGCCCAGACUCCUACGGGAGGCAGCAGUGGGGAAUAUUGGACAAUGGGCGAAAGCCUGAUCCANCAAUGCCGCGUGAGUGAUGAAGGCCUUAGGGUUGUAAAGCUCUUUUACCCGGGAUGAUAAUGACAGUACCGGGAGAAUAAGCUCCGGCUAACUCCGUGCCAGCAGCCGCGGUAAU
rnacentral:rRNA from 1 species